rnacentral:rRNA from 1 species
CAAUAGUGUACACUAAAGUUGCUGCAGUUAAAAAGCUCGUAGUUGGAUUUCGGUUAACAGACGGUUAGUCUACUUUUUCUAUAAGUACGCACUUUCCGACUGUUUCCUUCUUUUCACAUAUACAAUUUUAUUGUGUUGUGAAUCUUUUACUUUGAAAAAAUUAGAGUGUUCAAAGCAGGCGUAACAAAGCCUUUGAAUAUAUUAGCAUGGGAUAAUGAAAUAAGACUUUUUGCCUUAUUCUCGUUGGUUCUUGGGGCUAAAGUAAUGAUUAAUAGGGAUAGUUGGGGGUGCUCGUAUUCAACGGCCAGAGGUGAAAUUCUUGGAUUCGUUGAAGACGAACUUAUGCGAAAGCAUUCACCAAGGAUGUCUUCUUUAA